rnacentral:rRNA from 1 species
UGGGGAAUUUUCCGCAAUGGGCGAAAGCCUGACGGAGCAAUGCCGCGUGGAGGUGGAAGGCCUACGGGUCGUCAACUUCUUUUCUCGGAGAAGAAACAAUGACGGUAUCUGAGGAAUAAGCAUCGGCUAACUCUGGGCCAG